rnacentral:lncRNA from 1 species
GAGCACUUUAGAGGCCCGGCCUGUCGUAUGCUGCCAUCGUAUGCUGUCGUUUAUGUUAUCGUAUGCUGUUGUCGUUUGGCACAACGGAGGCAAAACCACGUAUAAAAAUAGAAAAAAAGGAGGAAGCAAGCGAGAAAUAGAAAGAGAGAGAAAG